GCGUGCGGGAUGAAGGCCUUCGGGUUGUAAACCGCUGUCAGAGGGGAUGAAAUGCAGGUGGGUUCUCCCAUCUGUUUGACAUAGCCUCAGAGGAAGGACGGGCUAAGUUCGUGCCAGCAGCCGCGGUAAGACGAACCGUCCAAACGUUAUUCGGAAUUACUGGGCUUAAAGGGUGCGUAGGCGGCGCGGAAAGUUGGGUGUGAAAUCCCUCGGCUCAACCGAGGAACUGCGCUCAAUACUGCCGUGCUCGAGGGAGAUAGAGGUGAGCGGAACUUAGGGUGGAGCGGUGAAAUGCGUUGAUAUCCUAAGGAACACCGGUGGCGAAAGCGGCUCACUGGAUCUCUUCUGACGCUGAGGCACGAAAGCUAGGGUAGCAAACGGGAUUAGAUACCCCGGUAGUCCUAGCCGUAAACGAUGAGCACUGGAUUGAAGGGUCCUCCAUAGCCUUUCAGUCGCAACGAAAGCGUUAAGUGCUCCGCCUGGGGAGUAUGGUCGCAAGGCUG
rnacentral:rRNA from 1 species